rnacentral:ncRNA from 1 species
GCACAGGCCAUGAAGGGGAACAAGUAACCUGUCUGCCAGGCCGCAGAGAGCCGGGGUAGCUGCAAACCGGUGCCGGUAGAGGUGAAAAGGAUCGCCCCGGAGCCGCCCGCUGAAAAUGUCCGGAUGGGCAUUGUGUAGGCCGGGACGGGUUGGUCGACCCGUUAUCAAAGCCGUGUCCUGAUGGGGACACAAAGGGGCUCCUGCCGCGAGGCGGGGGCAAGCAGGGUGGUACCGCGCGAGGAUAAGCCUCUCGUCCCUGGC